UGCGGAGGGAUCAUUACCGAGUUUACAACUCCCAAACCCCUGUGAACAUACCAACUGUUGCCUCGGCGGAUCAGCCCGCUCCCGGUAAAACGGGACGGCCCGCCAGAGGACCCCUAAACUCUGUUUCUAUAUGUAACUUCUGAGUAAAACCAUAAAUAAAUCAAAACUUUCAACAACGGAUCUCUUGGUUCUGGCAUCGAUGAAGAACGCAGCAAAAUGCGAUAAGUAAUGUGAAUUGCAGAAUUCAGUGAAUCAUCGAAUCUUUGAACGCACAUUGCGCCCGCCAGUAUUCUGGCGGGCAUGCCUGUUCGAGCGUCAUUUCAACCCUCAAGCCCAGCUUGGUGUUGGGACUCGCGAGUCAAAUCGCGUUCCCCAAAUUGAUUGGCGGUCACGUCGAGCUUCCAUAGCGUAGUAGUAAAACCCUCGUUACUGGUAAUCGUCGCGGCCACGCCGUUAAACCCCAACUUCUGAAUGUUGACCUCGGAUCAGGUAGGAAUACCCGCUGAACUUAAGCAUAUCA
rnacentral:rRNA from 1 species